UACGGAGGGUGCGAGCGUUGUCCGGAUUUAUUGGGUUUAAAGGGUGCGUAGGUGGCUAUUUAAGUCAGUGGUGAAAUACAGCCGCUCAACGGUUGAGGUGCCAUUGAUACUGAAUAGCUUGAAAGAAUUGGAGGCUGCCGGAAUGGAUGGUGUAGCGGUGAAAUGCAUAGAUAUCAUCCAGAACACCGAUUGCGAAGGCAGGUGGAUACGAUUUAUUUGACACUGAGGCACGAAAGCAUGGGGAGCAAACAGG
rnacentral:rRNA from 1 species